UACGUAGGGUGCAAGCGUUGUCCGGAAUUAUUGGGCGUAAAGAGCUCGUAGGCGGCUAGUCACGUCGGAUGUGAAAACCCGAGGCUCAACCUCGGGCCUGCAUUCGAUACGGGCUGGCUAGAGUACUGCAGGGGAGACUGGAAUUCCUGGUGUAGCGGUGAAAUGCGCAGAUAUCAGGAGGAACACCGGUGGCGAAGGCAGCUCGCUGGGACGUUACUGACACUGAGGCGCGAAAGCGUGGGGAGCGAACAGG
rnacentral:rRNA from 1 species